CCUACGGGCGGCAGCAGUGGGGAAUAUUGGUCAAUGGGCGCGAGCCUGAACCAGCCAAGUAGCGUGAAGGAUGACUGCCCUACGGGUUGUAAGCUUCUUUUAUAAGGGAAUAAAGUGAGGCACGUGUGCCUUUUUGUAUGUACUUUAUGAAUAGGGAUCGGCUAACGCCGUGCCAGCAGCCGCGGUAAUACGGAGGAUCCGAGCGUUAUCCGGAUUGAUUGGGUUUAAGGGGAGCGUAGAUGGGUUGUUAAGUCAGUUGUGAAAGUUUGCGGCUCAACCGUAAAAUUGCAGUGGAUACUGGCAGUCUGGAGUACAGUUGAGGUAGGCGGAAUUCGUGGUGUAGCGGUGAAAUGCUUAGAUAUCACGAAGAACUCCGAGUGCGAAGGCAGCUUACUAAACGGCCACUGACAUUGAUGCUCGAAAGUGUGGGUAUCAAACAGGAUUAGAUACCCCAGUAGUC
rnacentral:rRNA from 1 species